GUAAGUGUUAGGAACUGAACCCAGGUUCUUUGUAAGAACAAGCGCUCUUAACCUCUGGGCCAUCUCUCCAGGCCUCUUAAAUACACUUAAAAAAAAGAUUUAUUUAUUUAUUUAUUUAUUUAUUUAUUUAUUUAUUUAUUUAUUUAUUUAAUGUAUGUGAGUACACUGUAACUGUACAGAUGGUUGUGAGCCUUCAUGUGGUUGUUGGGAAUUGAAUUUUUAGGACCUUUGCUUGCUCUGGUCGGCCCUGCUCUCUCAGUUCCUGCUUGCCCAAAGAUUUAUUUAUUAUUAUAGAUAAGUACAUUAUAGCUGACUUCAGAUGCACCAGAAGAGGACCUUAGAUCUCAUAUGAAUGGUUGUGAGCCACCAUAUGGUUUCUGGGAUUUGAACUCAGGACCUUUGGAAGAGCAGUCAGUGCUCUUACCCUCUGAGCCAUCUCGCUAUCCCCUUAAAUACACUUUUAACUGAAGAGUAAAUACACACAGAAAAUGCUCCAAUCCUGCCACCUCUCCUGUGUGAACGGAACAAUACCUCCAGCCCAAGGCUCCUGUGUGCUCCGCCAGUCCCAUCCCAAGGGCAGCCACUGUCUCGGCCUCUGCCACCACAGAUGAGUUUCAUCUAUUUUUGAACUUUGUCAAUGGAAUCUUGUAGUACAGGCUAUUUUUAUGUCUGGCUUCUGUUCACUCGUGUUGUGGAGGAUAGAACACUUUGCCCAGCCUCUUGCUGUACUGUGUUCUAUGACUGUCACUGCUAGGGAACGAGGACUGCCUGUGUUUAAUAUUGGAGGUGACUGCUGAACAUGUGUCACUGGUUUUACAUGGGGGGGCUCACUGCUUUUAUGAUAACCUGAAACUUCAGGUGAUAUCGCUAGAAUGGUUUAAAUUAUCAGAGAGGGAACCUGUGAACCCAUUUCUUCAUUCUUUCCUCCUUUGUUGAUAUUGAAUUUGCCAUGUAGCUCGGGAUGACCUUAAACUCUUGAUCCUCCUGCCUCAACCUUCUUAUUGCCACUAUACCCAAGUGAUUCGGUGCCGAGGAUCUAACCCAGAGCUGUGUGUAUACUAGGUGUUUUGUCUGCAUGUAUGUCAGUGCUCCACAGGCAUGCUUGGUGCCUACGGAGGCCAGAAGAGGACAUCAGGUCCCCUGUGAGUUACAGAUAGCUGCGAGCUGCCACGUGGGUACUUAGAAUUGAACUCAGGUUCCCUGGAAGAACAGCCAAUGCUGUUGACUUGGAAAUCAGCAGUUCAGUUCACAGGAAUCAGCAGCAGAAGCUCGACCCACUCGCAGACACGAUACAGAUAUAACAGCAGUCCAGUUCCUUAGAGUCGGAAUAGCAAACAUGAAUCAGCGGCAGAAGCAUGAUCCAGCAGAAACAGCCAGGCCUCAGUUGAGUCAGCACAAGUCAGCCGAAGGGACCAGGACCACUAGGGAUGCCAGGAGAAGUUCUUUGCUGUGCCUCUCUCAAAGAAGCAGAGAUUAGUGAAGAUUCAAGACCAAGAAGAGUUACAAAGUUACUUAUGCAAGCCAGCCCCUAUCAAUGUCCAUUGGGUCCUAUUUAUAUUCCCUCAAAACAUCGUGUGCCCUCUACAGGUCUUGCCUCACCACCUGUCUUUCCUCAGUCCAUGAGUGUUGCCUUAGCAAAACUCCACGUGCGUCUUUAUCUGACAUCGUUCUAUCGGUCAGAGUCUUUGGAAGAGGCAAGAAGCCGCAGGAAUCUCUCCAUUUAUUUCUCUCUAUGAGUCUUGACCAUUGGAGCUCAACAACGCAUGUAAAGUGAACCAAUACAUGUGUGUCAUUAUCGAAGAAUCCUUCAUCAUGUGUCCUUUCAUGUGCUUGCUUUAGCAAAACAUUCUUCCACCUGUGUCUGCUUCAGCGAAACGUUCCUUCACAUGUCUGACUCCACCCAACACAACUGACUUUCCAAAGAACUGUUAAGUUUCCACUUCCCAGGGUGGGGGUACAUGCAUGAUGUGUAUGGAGGUCAAAGGACAACUUGUGGGAGUUGGUUCCGUCUUUUCACAGUGUAAGCUAAGGAAGCGCCGGUCAUCGGUCAUUGGCUUGGCAGCAAACACACUGAGAUAGCUCUUUCUAGCCCAACCCUCAGCUUUUCUUUCCUCCUCCCCUUCCUUCCUCCUCCUCCUCCUCUCUUCUUUGUCUUCUCCUUUCUCCCAUCUCAGGCUUGGAGAUAGAAGUUUCUGAUCUGGAUCUUGGUAUGGAGAUCUUAAGGCUUAGUGGCUAUGGAUUCCAGAAGAUUAAAUCUCCGAGUUCAAGGUCAUCUGGAUUGAAAGGUGUGGUGGAGCACACCUUUAAUCUGGGCUACACCUUCUGCUGGAGACAAUAUAAGGACAUUGGAAGAAGGGAGUCUUGCUCUUGCUCCUUCCCCUGCUUGCCGUGUGAGAUUGAGUAACUGCUAGAUCCUUGGACUUCCAUUAACAGCUACUACUGAACCAUUGUUGGGAAUUGGGCUGCCGACUGUAAGUCAUCAAUAAACUCCUUUACUAUAUAGAGACUACCCAUAAGUUCUGUGACUCUAGAGAACCCUGACUAAUACAGAUGGACUCUCAGUAUCUCACCUAUAGAGUUUAGGUUUUCCUCAACUCAUCCUGCCUCAGCCACUUAAAUGCUGAGAUUAUAGGUUUGAGCCACGAUCCGAUUCCAGGUGCCAGGAAGGAUUUUCUAAUAGACAUUAUAGUAGACCUAGCUUAGUUUUCUUAACUCCAUAUGGACAGCUUGUUUGAAUAUCCUAUUAAACACACACACACACACACACACACACACACACACACACACACACAAAGAGAGUACAGGCACUUGCUGCCAACCCCCCCCCCACACACACACACAGAGUACAGGCACUUGCUGCCAA
rnacentral:lncRNA from 1 species